GAAUCCCGUCUUUGGCACGGAUGCACCAGGGCUUUUGUGAUGCGCUCUCGAAGAGUCGAGUUGUUUGGGAAUGCAGCUCAAAAUGGGUGGUGAACUCCAUCUAAAGCUAAAUAUUGGCGAGAGACCGAUAGCGAACAAGUACCGUGAGGGAAAGAUGAAAAGCACUUUGGAAAGAGAGUGAAACAGUACGUGAAAUUGUUGAAAGGGAAACGCUUGAAGUCAGUCGCGUCGACCGAGACUCAGCCUUGCCUCGGCUCGGUGUACUUCUCGGCCGACGGGUCAGCAUCAAUUUUGCCCCUCGGAUAAUGGCGAGAGAAAGGUGGCACCCUCACGGGUGUGUUAUAGUCUCCCGUCGGAUGCGAGGGUCGGGAUUGAGGAACUCGGCACGUACCGUGCUUAGGAUGUUGGCAUAAUGGCUUUAAACGACCCGUCUUGAAACACGGACCAAGGGGUCUAACAUGCCCGCGAGUGUUCGGGUGGAAAACCCGUGCGCGUAAUGAAAGUAAAAGUUGGGACCCCUGUCGUGGGGGGCACCGACGCCCGGACCAGACCUUCUGUGACGGAUCUGCGGUAGAGCGUGCAUGUUGGGACCCGAAAGAUGGUGAACUAUGCCUGAAUAGGGUGAAGCCAGAGGAAACUCUGGUGGAGGCUCGUAGCGAUUCUGACGUGCAAAUCGAUCGUCAAAUUUGGGUAUAGGGGCGAAAGACUAAUCGAACCAUCUAGUAGCUGGUUCCUGCC
rnacentral:rRNA from 1 species